CAGCCGCCACGGGAACACGGAGGGUGCAAGCGUUAAUCGGAAUUACUGGGCGUAAAGCGCACGCAGGCGGUCUGACAAGUCAGAUGUGAAAUCCCCGGGCUUAACCUGGAAACUGCAUUUGAAACUGUCAGGCUGGAGUCUUGUAGAGGGGGGUGGAAUUCCAGGUGUAGCGGUGAAAUGCGUAGAGAUCUGGAGGAAUACCGGUGGCGAAGGCGGCCCCCUGGACAAAGACUGACGCUCAGGUGCGAAAGCGUGGGGAGCAAACAGGAUUAGAUACCCCGGUAGUCCCUGUCUCUUAUAC
rnacentral:rRNA from 1 species